GCAUCAGUGAGCCAAUCAGCAUGCAGCAUGCUUCUACUAAGAUCUAAUAAUGUUUGUGAUUGGCUGUCUAACGUUACACGUCGUAGAGACACGCAGGAAAGAUUCUACGUUACACAGAGACGCCUCACGUAGUCGGAGCUGGAACAUAAAUACAAAGAUUUGUGCCGUAAUGUGUAAUGUCGUAAUUUUUUUUCAGUUUUUUCUAAAAUU